rnacentral:rRNA from 1 species
GACGAACGCUGGCGGCGUGCUUAACACAUGCAAGUCGAACGCUGAAGCUCAGCUUUUGUUGGGUGGAUGAGUGGCGAACGGGUGAGUAACACGUGAGUAACCUGCCCCCUUCUUUGGGAUAACGCCCGGAAACGGGUGCUAAUACUGGAUAUUCACUGGUCUUCGCAUGGGGGUUGGUGGAAAGGGUUUUUCUGGUGGGUGAUGGGCUCGCGGCCUAUCAGCUUGUUGGUGGGGUGAUGGCCUACCAAGGCUUUGACGGGUAGCCGGCCUGAGAGGGUGACCGGUCACAUUGGGGCUGAGAUACGGCCCAGACUCCUACGGGAGGCAGCAGUGGGGAAUAUUGAACAAUGGGGGCAAGCCUGAUGCAGCGACGCCGCGUGAGGGAUGGAGGCCUUCGGGUUGUGAACCUCUUUCGCGCAUGGUCAGGCCGCAACAAUGGUUGUGGUGAGGGUAGUGGGUAAAGAAGCGCCGGCUAACUACGUG